AGUAACAAAGAGGGGUGGCCCGGAAUAUACCGGACCUGAGAUUAUACCCAUUGAACCUGAUCCGGGUAAUGCCGGCGUAGGGAGAAGAGAAAUAUGCUUUU
rnacentral:ncRNA from 2 species